CUUGUGGUUAAGGAUGCACUAUUUUUUUCCCCGUCUUAUCGACUGUGGUGACCACUAGCUAAAAUAUAAGCCAACUUUGUCUGAAACCACAAA